GUCCAGCCCGUAGCUGAUGCUGCCGCGCGGUAUUCGUCAUGGAGCUGGCGCCGCGGAGUUGUCUUAUGCCGGUGCUGCUGCUGCUCCCGGGCCUGAGCACGGGAGCUGUCAUCAGCUGGCCCACAGAAGAGGGCAAGGAAGUAUGGGAUUAUGUGACUGUCCGGAAGGACGCCCACAUGUUCUGGUGGCUCUAUUAUGCCACCAGCCCCAGCAAGAACUUCUCAGAACUGCCCCUGGUCAUGUGGCUUCAGGGUGGUCCAGGUGGUUCCAGCACUGGAUUUGGGAACUUUGAGGAAAUCGGGCCCCUUGACAGAGAUCUCAAACCACGAAGAACUACUUGGCUCCAGUCGGCCAGUCUCCUGUUUGUGGAUAACCCAGUGGGCACUGGGUUCAGUUAUGUGAACAAGAGUGACGCGUACACCAAAGACCUGGCCAUGGUGGCAUCAGACAUGAUGGUUCUCCUGAAGACUUUCUUUGAAUGCCACAAAGAAUUCCAGACGAUUCCAUUCUACAUUUUCUCAGAGUCCUAUGGAGGAAAAAUGGCUGCUGGCAUUGCUCUAGAACUUUAUAAGGCCAUUCAGCAAGGGACCAUCCAGUGCAACUUUGCCGGGGUUGCUUUGGGCGAUUCCUGGAUCUCUCCCAUCGAUUCAGUGCUCUCCUGGGGACCUUACUUGUACAGCAUGUCUCUUCUCGACGACCAAGGUCUGGCAGAGGUGUCUCGGGUUGCAGAACAAGUCCUGGAUGCCAUAAAUAAGAGACUCUACAAAGAGGCCACCGAGCUGUGGGAGAAAGCAGAAAUGGUCAUUGAACAGAACACAGACGGGGUGAACUUCUAUAACAUCUUAACUAAGACGUCUCCCACGUCUACCAUGAAAUCGAGUCUAGAAUUCACCCAGAGCCACAUAGUUCACCUUUUCCAGCGCCACGUGAGACACUUACAGCAGGAUGCCUUAAGUCAGCUCAUGAAUGGUCCCAUCAGAAAGAAACUCAAAAUUAUUCCUGAAGAUUGCUCCUGGGGAGGCCAGGCUGCCAGCGUCUUCCUGAACAUGAAGGGGGACUUCAUGAAACCCGUCAUCAGCAUUGUGGACGAGCUGCUGGAAGCCGGGGUCAACGUGACCGUGUAUAAUGGACAGCUUGACCUCAUCGUGGACACCAUGGGUCAGGAGGCCUGGGUGCGAAAACUGAAGUGGGCAGAACUGCCCAAAUUCGGUCAGCUGAAGUGGAAGCCCCUGCACAGUGACCCUGAGACUUCAGAAACGUCUGCCUUUGUCAAGUCCCACAAGAACCUGGCUUUCUACUGGAUUCUCAGAGCUGGACACAUGGGCAGCGCAUGACGUGGCAAAGUGAGAGAGAAGAAUCAGGGAGAGAAAGUGAGCAAGGUACAGGUCACAGUCCUUUAUAGCCGAAUCCCAGUGUGCCAUCUUAUCACCUUUGCCUAUUCUAUUCUUAAGAAGCAAGUCAGUAUGUCCUGCCCCGUUCAAGUGGAGGGAAUUACACAAGGGCAUGAAUACAGGAAGCAGACAUCGCUGAGAGCCAUUGAGAGACUGUCUACCAGUUCCCUGAGGGUUGCUGUGAGGUGCAUCUUGCAAUCAUGAUCAGAACCACAAGAGCUAAUCUAGCCACAACACUGGCUCCAGUAAGGGAAGAGGAGGCUCACCACAGGUAGCAGGGGCCCAGAUGUAGUUCACUGUUGCAGAAGUCUGGGGAGCAACGUCUUCAAUGAUAGCAAGAACAAGAAUUGUAUUUCUCACGAGGAGCUGUGCCCCUGACUUAGGGCCAUCUGUUGCAAGACUUGAACCAGAUCAGAUGCGAACCUGAGGAAGCACCUUGUGAAGUCCAAGGAUGAAGCUAACUUGGCAGACGGCAGAGCCAAGAGACAGAGAGAUGUAGAGAGUCCCAGUGCGAUGGCAUGUUUGAACCCUGGCUCGAACAAUGCCUUGUGAAAAUUAAUAAAGGGAAACCCUACUAAAAUAGUCAGGAGGCCAGAAAGGGGAGAUCUCAUGCACAUACAAUUCAGAUCCCAACCGGAAGAGAUGUACCUUGCGUCUCCAGCAGGAAGUGACAAUAUUUUAUCACCUCCAGAAAGAAGAAAAAAGAUUCUCUUUGCUUGGCAAGAGCUCAGCCAAUGAAAAGCCACUAUACUGGGAAACUUCCAGUUUUCCUCUAAUGGACAUUUUGUUUGUAAUAGUCCCUCCCAACUUCCCCUUCUCCUCUACAAAAGAGUUUCCUCUCCUUUGCUUUACCGGGACUUGCAUGUGGUUUUCCGUAAUUGCAUGUCCCAAAUUGCAAUUUUUUGCUGC